rnacentral:rRNA from 1 species
AUGGGAGUUUUAAUUCUGGGUGUUGAACCCUCACUCCGAAUGAGUCUUGAGCAUCACACUUCAGCUAAAGAGACAUGGAAGUACUUUGAGCAGCGCUACCUUCAGCCCAGCAGUGCACUUCAUUUCUCCUUGUUUCAGAAUUUACACAACACUCAGCAGCCAGAAGACAUGUCCAUAGAAGAGUACUAUGGAGCUUUCACUCGCAUCACUGGGCAGCUAGGUUCCAUGGUUCCAAAGGGUAAUUCUGGUUGUGAGUCAUGUGCAGUGAAGGAAAAGUAUGACCAUCAGACUCUCAUGUUUCAGUUUGUGAUGGGUCUCAAGCCAGACUUUGAGAACAUUCGCACUCAAUUGCUUGGUCGUACGACUCCUCCCACCUUGACAGAGGCACUUGCUAGCUUGAUCGCUGAGGAGACUCGUCUGCGUUCUCUUGGGACUACUUCUGCGCAGACUCUACACACAAGUGUUCUGGCUUUUCCUCAGCGGCCAGGUGCCUCCAAGGCCACACCUUCAGCUGUCGUCUGCUCGUUCUGCAAGAAGGCAGGACACCACAGAGAUGGUUGUUUCAAGCUUCAUCCAGAGCUGUUAGCUGAGUUUCAGGCUAGACAGGCCCUCAAUCAGCAGCGUCGUGCACCCCAGGCUCCUUAUCAGCAGCAAGCGAGGGGUGCUUUUGCAAGCGAGGGGUGCUUUUGCAUCUGUUCUCUCUCAGCCCGCUGUUGCUGCAACCCAGCCUUGGGUUCUGGACUCUGGAGCUUCUUUCCAUGUGACCUCUGA